ensembl:lncRNA
CUCGAAAAACCAAAGACUCGAACGGUCCAAACUAAUCAAUUCUUUUUCUUGCUCGGAAUGUUCAAACUGCAUUGGUUAAGCUUAUUGGUCCAUCAUGUCAUCAACGAACGACUCGAAAAUGAUUGGAAACAGGCGAAUUAAUUACAGACAGUGCAGAAUCUAUUGAAUGUUAUGCAUAUGCGCGACUCAACGAGUCACUCCCAGAGACGACGCGUUCUUGCCGAUUCACAUCAAAGAUUUGUUCAAAAAUAACGAAUUGUUAAGGAAGGAACGACCCUUCACUAUGGCGGGAUUAAUGACUAAAUUGUUGCUAAUGGCGGUUCAAAAGCCCUCAAAAAAGGGAAAGCUCAAAGUAAUAAAAUGGCUUCAAAAGAAAAAGCUACUCACAAGCAGAGUACUUUGUUCAAGAUGUGGCCAAAAGAUGAAACUGACCAGGAACAGUAAAAUUUCUGAUGGAUAUAACUGGGUGUGCAGAUCUAAAAAUCAUCGUGGAGUUAAAAGCAGCCGAUCUGUAAGGACAGGAUCUUUAUUUGAAAAAUCAAAAAUAAGCUUGCCAUCAUGGUUAACAUUUAUUUACAGGUUCUCUCAAGGAUUGCACCUGAGACAGAUAGACAUGAUGCAGGACAGGAUUGCUAGAAGUUCUAAAACUCUCUCCAGAAUGGCUAAGGUCCUGAGAAAGAUCUGUACCAAGGCUAUGAAAGAGUACCAAAAAAGAAGAAGGCAGCAGAUGGGAGGUCAACAAGAAUUUGUUGUUAUUGAUGAAAGCAAUUUCCGUCAUAAACGAAAGGUAAGUUUUAUUGAGUUUAGUGCUGUGGUUUGCAACAGAGAUGAAGCAGCUGUGAUGCACUCAAUGUGAAUUAAGGUCUAGUCAGCUUUAUACAGUUAAGCUUUAGAAUGAUAGAAGGUAAAUAAUGCUAUCAUGACUUUUCUUCGUCCUAGUAAGCAAUAAUGAAUAAAAUUGUACAAAAGUAC